rnacentral:lncRNA from 12 species
CCUAAACAUCCCUCCCGCUAGCCCUAGCUUGGCCAGACUCUUCAGAUCCCGGGGACAAAACACAGUGCAGCAUUAUCGGCCCUCUACAUUCCAAUAAUAAACAUGAAAACAGUCUAAAGUAUUACAAUUCGGCUGAAAUCCCGCAGUAGGCAUUAGGAAGGCUAGCUGGUAAACUUGCUUAAAGAGAUUGCAUAUAUUCUCCCUCUCUCAUUGUAGGGUUUAUUUAUUUCCGUAUUUAUAUACUUACUUAGAGCUCAUGACAAUCAGUACUGAUAAAGGAACUUGCUGGAAUUAAUGUGCUGGAACCUCGAGAGCAACUAGUGACAAAAGGGCAUCUGAAGUGGAGUGGAAAUGACAAAUUUGAUAGAAGUCCUACAGUCCGCUGAAGGCACGGGCUCCAGAACCGUCCUCAUCCUUGGGUGCAGGGGCGCAUCUGACUUGGGCUCAUCAGGCCUGUUGGCUCCUUUCCUUCUACCACACUGGGCUCGGGCGUCCCGGCAGGACACGGGCAGCACGGAGCUCUCGUCUGAUGGUGGUUAUCGGUCUCAGGGCAGGCCCGCCGCACGCUGCUUGCACGCUGCUUGCACGCUGCUUGCACAAGAGGCCUGGCCGUCGGAAGCCAGCUUGUAAACCCAGGAGAACCCAGACCUGGGGCCCUGAGCAGGUGCCCAUGACGCUUCCAGUAUUAACAGGUAUUUUUACGCUGCUGUGAAGCAAGGCUUCUGUGUCUGGAAGUAGCUUCACGGAUUCGUGUUUCCUACCAAGUUCACCCUCCUACCUCUCAGCCUUCGUCUCUCAUGCUUGCAGAGAAAUCCUUUAAAACCAACAUCUUGCCAUUUCACUUUCGUAUUGAAAAUUACUCUCCACCCAAUUUCCUGUGAGAAGACAACUAGGACAUUUUUAGCAUGACGCAUACUGUUCUUUCCAGGCAUUUACACCUACUGAUCUCCCCAGGAAAACUCGACUAUCUGCCGGGUACUCGGACUUGCGGCUACUUCUGAGGGUGGACCGCCUCACACCCCGCCACCCCCACCCAUCCUCUGCACCUGACCGACUGGAGGAGCGCCCCCUCCCCGGGCCAGCCUGACCCCCUGGUAGGUCGCAUCCUCCCCCAUCCUCAUCUCCUGAGACCAUUCAGCUUUGACAAGCAAGAUGCCCCUAAAACACUCAUUCUUUCUGCCUCGAGCACACGUCCUAUCACAGAGCAGCAAAAUUAUGUUUGCUUAUUUACUUCUCUUCCUCCGUGUGAACUCCUGAUGGGUAAGGAUGAUAUUUUUCUUUUUCCCCUUAGGCUCUGGCAUAUAGAAUUGGCUCAUUAUUUUUGUUGAUCUAUAUUAUACAGGAGUACUUUUUGGCAUUCAUUUAAUCAGUGGGAAAAGAAAAAAAAAAACAAAAAACAAUUCCUGAAGGCUAUCAACCUGUAUCUAAAAGGAUAAUGGUGCAAGAGUCAAAAGACCGAAAUUUAAUGUCUAGUUUUUCAUCUGCGUGUGUGUGUAGGGGGGGCGGGGGGGGAGGGCGUAAAAAAAUAAAAGGGCUUUCCGUGCUUGACA